rnacentral:rRNA from 1 species
CUGGUUGAUCCUGCCAGACCCGACUGCUAUCGGAUUGGGACUAAGCCAUGCGAGUCAACUCCGCAAAGGGUGGCGCACGGCUCAGUAACACGUAGUCAACCUACCCUGGGGACGGGGAUAACCUCGGGAAACUGAGGCUAAACCCCGAUGGGCCAUGGCUCCUGGAAUGAGCUAUGGCUGAAAUCUACAUGGCCCCAGGAUGGGACUGCGGCCGAUCAGGUUGUUGGUGGGGUAAUGGCCCACCAAGCCUAUAACCGGUGCGGGCUCUGAGAGGAGGAGCCCGGAGAUGGGCACUGAGACAAGGGCCCAGGUCCUAUGGGGCGCAGCAGGCGCGAAACCUCCGCAAUGGGCGAAAGCCCGACGGGGUCAGUCCGAGUGGUUCCCGCUGAGGGAACCUUUUGCCAGCUGUAAACAGGCUGGCGAAUAAGGGGUGGGCAAGUUUGGUGUCAGCCGCCGCGGUAAUACCAGCACCCCGAGUGGUCGGGACGAUUAUUGGGCCUAAAGCAUCCGUAGCCGGCCCAGUAAGUCCUCCGUUAAAUCCAACGGCUCAACCGUUGGGCUGCGGGGGAUACUGCUGGGCUAGGGGACGGGAGAGGCGAGGGGUAUUCCCGGGGUAGGGGUAAAAUCCACUGAUCCCGGGAGGACCACCAGUGGCGAAGGCGCCUCGCUAGAACGUGCCCGACGGUGAGGGAUGAAAGCUGGGGGAGCGAACCGGAUUAGAUACCCGGGUAGUCCCAGCCGUAAACGAUGUAGGCUCGGUGUUGGGCUGCCUCAGUGGCAGCCCAGUGCCGCAGGGAAGCCGUUAAGCCUACCGCCUGGGGAGUACGGCCGCAAGGCUGAAACUUAAAGGAAUUGGCGGGGGAGCACCAC